AACAGGGAUUGCCCUAGUAACGGCGAGUGAAGCGGCAACAGCUCAAAUUUGAAAUCUGGCUUCGGCCCGAGUUGUAAUUUGCAGAGGAUGUUUCUGGCGCGGUGCCUUCCGAGUUCCCUGGAACGGGACGCCACAGAGGGUGAGAGCCCCGUAUGGUUGGACACCAAGCCUGUGUGAAACUCCUUCGACGAGUCGAGUAGUUUGGGAAUGCUGCUCAAAAUGGGAGGUAAAUCUCUUCUAAAGCUAAAUACCGGCCAGAGACCGAUAGCGCACAAGUAGAGUGAUCGAAAGAUGAAAAGCACCUUGAAAAGGGGGUUAAACAGUACGUGAAAUUGUUGAAAGGGAAGCGCUUGUGACCAGACUUGCGCCGGGCGGUUCAUCCGGGGUUCUCCCCGGUGCACUCCGUCCGGCUCAGGCCAGCAUCGGUUUUCGUUGGGGGAUAAGAACGGCAGGAACGUGGCCCUCCUUCGGGUGGGUGUUAUAGCCUGCCGUACGAUACCCUGACGGGGACCGAGGUUCGCGCUCCGCAAGGAUGCUGGCGUAAUGGUCAUCAGCGACCCGUCUUGAAACACGGACCAAGGAGUCGUCCAUUAGAGCGAGCGUUUGGGUGUCAAACCCGCACGCGUAAUGAAAGUGAAAUUAGGUGAGAGCUUCGGCGCAUCAUCGACCGAUCCUGAUGUUCUCGGAUGGAUUUGAGUAAGAGUUUUAACGGACGGACCCGAAAGACAGUGAACUAUGCUUGUAUAGGGUGAAGCCAGAGGAAACUCUGGUGGAGGCUCGCAGCGGUUCUGACGUGCAAAUCGAUCGUCAAAUAUGAGCAUGGGGGCGAAAGACUAAUCGAAC
rnacentral:rRNA from 1 species